AACGAUACAAACGUAAAAACAGUUGAAUAAAAUGGCUUUUACGCACGUGUGUCUUCUGGUAACCUUGGUGACUUAUACUCUAAGUCUACCUUUGGCGAGGAAUAGUGAAGUUCAAAUAGUGCAAGAUGCAGUGUAUACACCUGUGGAUCCCCUAGUGAAUUUGGAUUUGAUCAAAAGCCAUCGGAUUGUGAGGAGGAGCAAGCGAGCUGGUAUCAUCCACGGCGGAGAGUGCCCUGAAGGGGAAUGGCAUUUGCCAAACGGCCAAUGUGCUCCUUGCCAAGGACAAAACAAUCCUGAAUGUGACGGAGAUGGUGAGAAAGAUGAUUACUAUGAUGAAAACGCAGUUUAAGUUGAAAUUACAACACGGGAACUAACUGUGAUAUUUUCGACUGUGUGCAAAUCCCUGUAAAAGGCAGCGCUUGCAAAAGUUUCGUGACUCGAAAUUUUUGAAAAAGUUUUGUAAAAUAAAAGCAUUUUUUCAAAAUCUACACCACUUUGCGAAUAUGGAAAAUAAAAAAAUGCUAAAAGUGAAAUAUUCCGAAAAUUACUACAUAUCUGCUGAGUUGUGAGAAGACAAGAAAAGAGAAGUUAUGCACUAAGCAAGUAGUUUUAAAUUAUAUAAUUUAUAGCAACAUGCAGGUUAUUUUUUAAAUUAGAAUUUAGGUAAUUUAUUUGAAGACAUGAUAGUAGUAGGCACUUUAAAAUUUGCAGUUCAAUUUUAUGCAGUAUUUUAGUUAUAAUUUUGCGAUAAAAAAACAAGGGAUUUAAUAUAAGUAUAGGUUAAUAAAACAUUUACGCGAGAUAAAGUUUUCGCAACUUGAGACCAAAAAAAUAUUUAAGUAUUCAAAUUACGUAUUUAUAAUGUAUUAUAAUAAAUAGUUAUUUAAACUGUAAUUAUAACUCGUAAUUUAUGGUUGCUCAAACGUAAUUUUACAUUUUAUGACUGACUGAUUAAAGAAUUUGUAGCUCUUUGAUAAACUUAUGUAUUAUAUAUCUUGAUAUUUCAAAGGGUACCUCUUUAACGAAAAUAUUUUUAAGUGUUUGUGAUUUAUAGAAAAAAAACUUUUGAAGAAAUGGAAAUGAAACACUUAUUAAUAAAAAUAUAAGGCCAUGACAACCUUGGGGGUUAAAAAGGCCACAUCGAAGCAAUUCAUCUAAAAAAGCAAUAUUACAAUUUGACAUUUGCCCAUAUAAAAGUGAAGUCAAAUAGCAAUAUUUCUUUUUUGGACGAAAUGCUUUGAUGUGGCUUUUUUGACCCCCUGUUCUUCUAUUUUUUUAAGUAGAUACUAAGUUAAUUUCAAGUUAGGUAUUUAACUAUUUAUUGUUAUUAAUAAGGAAAAUCUGUAUUUUCACCAGAGUAUGUGCAUUUUUGUACUUAUUAGUGUUAAGCAAAUAUAUUAUGACGAGCCUUUGCAUUGAUGUCGCGUAUUCAUACUGCAGUCAUAGUAAAAGUUAUAAUAGAAGAUACGUGCAGAAGGAACAUUUUUCGCAUUUUUUUUUUCAUUUGUAUGUGGCUGUGUUUUUAAGGAACAUUAAAAAUAGACUAGAAAAUAGCUAAUAUAUUAUUUUGACAUUUAUUUAUGUUUUGGAACUGUUUGUCAUUUUAUUUCCUUUAUUUUUAUAUUUGUAAAGAACUUUAUUAUUUGUAGCCUUCACUAUCUCUCCCCUUUUUCCACUCCUCCCGAUCUUGGGCUCUCUCUUUCCAUGAUGUCAACUAUGCAUCCAACUCAUCACGCCGCCAUCUUUUUCUCGGUCGGCCAUGAUGCCUUUUGACAUUUAUAGUAGUAGUAUAUUGGCACCCAUUCUGUGGUCUUCUUUGCCGCGAUAUUGCUUCCAUUCAUUUGUAAGGAAAAGAAAAAAAUAUCAUUUUACUUUUAUUUGUCGCACUUGUUUAAUUAUUGCACAAUGUGUAACUAUUAUUUUAACUUUUUUCUUU